rnacentral:lncRNA from 1 species
CUCAUAAUUGCAUUUUUAAUUCGACGGCAGCAGUGCCUUGGAAGUCGUAACGGUUCAGCCACCUUUCCUCGAAAACAAGCACAAGGAAUCAAAUCAUUGGCACAGCAGCCAACACACAAUCAUUACCAUUGGACCUCGGCAAGCCUUGCAUGUUCGGUUCCUCGACCACCUCGGCUUCCUCCUCGCCAUUCAGCAUCAAAGCCUCGCAGGUUCGGUUCCUGAACCACCUAGGCUUCGUCC